rnacentral:lncRNA from 1 species
UUGAAGACACAAAUUGAUUCAAAACUCUUGAAGAUCAUUCUUGGAAAAUAAAAAUAGAAUUUUAAAUGUGAAAGGUUUAACUCAGUGAUACUCUUUAGCGGAUAGAAGACAUAAUAAAGCAGUCACAGGGUGGUCAUCUUUUGAUCUGAAUAACUAAAGCCUUUAAGUCUGGAUUGUGGGCUCUUCCAUUGACAUUCCCAAACUGAGUCUUUUUCUGUAGGCACCAGAUCCUGAGAUUCCUCUUAGCACUGUGAUAUUUGCAAUGGUGUCUGUCUGCAAAUGUUAUUCAGACCUUACAAAGAUGAGGGGAUUGUAUUCCUUCUUUUCAAAUCUUCUGUCAUUUUUUGACAAUUCAGAUUAAAUUCUAGAUCCAGUAGUCCUAAAUCAUAAUUCAGAUGCAUGUUAUUAAGAUGAAUUCUUAUUUCUUGUUCAGCCUAAUGCCAUGGUCCCUUCCAAGCUCUCUGGAUUUUACCAAGUUUUUUGUCAUCCUUUACAUUCCUAAAACCUUUAAAUCUUCUGGAAUGUUCUAGUGCUUUGAUUAAUUAUCAGAUAGCUAAUAAAAAUUAUAUAUAUAGAAAGGGUAAUUCUACCUGAAUAUCAUCUUUCAAGUAAAUCUAUGAUUCUUUAACCUAUGAUCCAUCCAGCUAACUGUACAAUUAUUUUUAGCUAUCACAGAUAGCUUUUUCCUUUCUAUUUUAUGCAAGCCAAAUGAAGAAUGUCAAAACAGCAAUAUGAAUUCAGAUGUAUAUGGUGGUCCUAGAAUGUAAACCAUAAUAGUUCUUUGUAAAAUGAGGUUUUUCAGAUAGCCCCAAACAAUCUCAUUUGAAACAUUAAAUUUAAUGCAUUAAUGACAAACCUAUUGUGAUGGGACACAAAACAACUUAUUGGGAAAACACAUGGCUAGAAGCAAUAAGUUCAGCUGAGAAACCGUAAAAGUAUUGGUCAAGCUAAUCAUUUGGUCCAAUAAAUCACAUUUAUUUUCAUGCUUAAAGUGUUCAAUCUCAUGUAACUCUUGAAGUCCUUUAGUGCUAAAAUGGAUAUGUAGAUGUUGAAUAAAUGAAAAUGAAAGGAUAUGAUUAUAACUGUCCUCUGUUCUGUAUUUUAUAACCUAUCAAGGUUCUGAAAUGAUAGUCAAGUGAUUUUUUAUGCAGUGGAGAUCAGAUAUCAGUUGAUUAUUGCUUUUAAACUGUAUUUCCCACUUUAAAGGAAAAUGAUAGCAUUGUUUCAUUCUGUGUUUCAGGCCCGUCCAUCUUUUUAAAUUUUGUGUUUAUUGUGUGCAUGUUAAAAUUAGUUAAUUGCUGGAGUUCCCAUCAUGGCAAAGUGGAAAGGAAUCUGACUAGGAACCAUGAGUUUGCUAGUUCAAUCCCUGACCUCACUGAGUGUGUCAAGGACCCGCAUUGCCAUGAGCUGUGGUGUGGGUUGCAGAUGCAUCUUAGAUCUGAUGUUGUGUGGCUGCCUUGUGGGCCGACAGCUAUAGCUCCGAUUGGACCCCUAGCCUGGGAACCUCCAUAUGCCAUGGGUGCAGCCCUAAAACAAACAAACAAAAAUAGUUAAUUGUCAUAUGAGUUACCAUAUAUAUUUAUUUUAGGGUAAUAUUAUGGAAACAAUCUGCAAAAAAUAUGAAAUAAAAAAGGACUGUUCCAAGUUAUGAAAUAAUAAUACUCUCAAUAACCCUUUGAAGAAGAAUGUCAAUAAAUUUUUUUUCUGUCUUAUGAUUGAGCAUUAUGAUGACUAGGAUAUUUUGGCAUUAGCUCACAUCAAAAUAACACUCUCCAGGCAGUCUUGACUUUAGAUGUACUUUUGAAAAGGAUUACUUUUAAGAAUAUUCUUCAAGAACAUGUUGUGUUUGAGAUGUUGACCUUGCUUAGCUCAAGAAAAAAUUGUUCUAACUUGCCCACCAUUUGAAAUAUACUGAAUUGACUUUCAAUCUUUCCUUUUAUUCUGUAUAUGAAAAAUAAACUAUAUACCUCAAAUUUAGAAAUGGAAUAUGAAAUGAAAAAUGUAUUUCAGGGUAUAAAAAUAACAGCAUCUUUAAUGGAACUGUCACUGAUUGAUCCAUAUUUAUUCUAGUCAGCUUAGAAACUCACUUUAUGAAAGUGAAUGUAUUCACAUAAGAAUACAUUUAAAUGCAAAUAUUUUAAGUUCUCUCAUAAUUAAAGGAUGCCUCUGGUUUACAUUUAUCUCAAAGGAUGACAUAAUAUCUUCUAAGUAAUAUGUAAUAUAUGCUUGCAGAUUGAACCUAAAAUCAAGUUAAAAUGAAGGGUGGAUUUAGUGUCGAGGUAGAGGUUAGAGAGUAAAAAAUGGCCUGAGUGAGAAGUUUACAUAUUUGAUGGGUGAAUUUGAGUGGAAUAAAAUUUAAAUAAUUCUUAUUAGAAAAGUUGGAAUUUAAAAAACACAUUCAAUACAAUAAGGACAAUUUAAAAAAAUAAUAAGCAUUAAAAAUGUAUUCCUCUAUUGUUCCAUAUUUUCUCUCUCUUUGUAUAGAUAGUUAAAUGUUGAUACAUAUUUGUACUAUAUAGUCACUUUAGAAUCAUUUUGAGUAAUAUAUUAUGCUUAACAUAUUGAGGGCAUUGAGUAAUAUAUCAUGCUUAAUUUUUUUUUUCCUGGAAUAAUGGCUAAUACAAAAAGAAAAAUAUAAAACUAACAAACAACCAAUUUUUUUGUAUGUAGCAUAGCAUAAUAAAGUAAAAAUAGGUAGUAUUAAGAGGAGAUUAAGCCCCUUGAUAAAGUGCCAGACUACUCAGGUUUGAAUAAAAACAUUCUCAUUCUCUCAAUGUGACUUUGAACAAAGCAUUUUGUCUCUUGGUGAAGCUUCAAUAGAGAGAUAGGGAUGUGAUUUUUCCUUUUUCUUUCUUUCUUUUUUUUUUUUUUUCUUUUGGCAGUGGAAGUUCCCAGGACAGGGAUCAAAUCUGAGCUGCAGCUGCAAACUAUACCACAACUGUGGCAAUUCUGGAUCCAUAAUCCACUGUGCCCAGCCGGCAAUCAAACUCAUACCUCAAAAGCAACCCAUGUCACUGCAGAGACAAUGCCUGAUCCGUAACUCACUGUUCUACAGUGGGAACUCCAGUGUGAUUAUUAUUGUAGUACUUUCUUCAGAGGUUAUUUUAUUUAAUUAGGUAAAGCAUAUAUAUGAGCUAAUUUAUAGAAAGUGAUCAACAAGUGGUAGGUCUUAGCAGUUAGACCAAGUUUUAAAUGAUGAACACGCAUUAAGUACUCUUGGGAAAAUAACUUUAUCUUCUGAACAUCAAUAUCUUCAUUUUAAACUCAGACCAAUUUCUAUUUCAGGAGUGUUGUAAAAAAUGAAAAUGAUAGGUUGGUAGCUGAUUAUAUUAUGUUUUAAAAAAUAAUUUUACUUAUUUUUCUUCUCCUCCUCUUCCUCACCCUCAUCUUCCUUCUUUUUCAUUAGUGUUUUUAUUUUGGUUGUCCUCACUGUUAUACAUAGAUAGGCUAGAAACUUUCCACAGAACAUUUCUGGAAGUAGUUCAGUAGGGAAAGAGUUAUUUCUGGAAGUUAAAAAUAAAGGAUUAAGACUGAAUAGGUGGCGAAAAGGGCAGGUGAGUGAAAUGAUGUCUUCCUCAAAAUAUAUGGGGAAAAGUUCAAAGGACAAUGCAGUUAAGAGUGAUAGAUACAAGGGGAAAAAAGAUUCAAAAUAGAGUUUUCAGCAGACAGAGAAAAUGGGAUCAAGAGAGCUAACAUACUGGAAUUUGAAGUGGUCAUGAUACAUAGAAUAUAAGCAGGGACUGAUCUAAUAACCUAGCAGUGGAAUGGUCUCUGUAGUCAUAUCAAUAAGCACAAAGAUUGAAGAUUUAUGAGACACACCUGAGUUCUGCUGAAACAUUCACAAGUUUUUUUUUAGUAGCUGGAAGGCAAAUUAAUAAGCAGUGAAAUAGAAUUUUUUUCUAAUGACUUACCUCUUGAUUGGUUAAGCAAGAAAUUAGUUAUCUGAUUUGUGCUUAUUUGCCUAAGUAGACAGGUAAUAGUGAAAUUUCAUUAUAUAAUUUAUGCAUAUAUUUUUAAAAAUCAAGUUUCUUAUGUUUUUUAUAGUAAAUAUGUUGCAUUUUGGAUUCCUUAAUGUUUGAUUAAUAAAGGUGUUUAGCAAUAUUAAAAUCAUUUCACUGCCCAAGUUUGUGACCUGAAGUAUAUGUUGAAUGGAGAUUUUAAUUAAAUGAAUUGUUCUUAUAAUUGAGCACAUAUUACCUUAUUAUAAUAAUCAAUAAUUUCAUAAGUGCGAGAAGAAUGAACUAUGUAAAAACUGACUGUAUUUUCAAAUUUUCUUUGUGGGCAGAGAUCCCAUGAAGUUAGCAUUGCCUUUGUUAAAAAUAUAAAUAUUUUAUAUUUCUAAUAGGAAAUGGACAGUGGACAGCCAUUAAGGCAGUAGCAGUUCUAGGAGUUCAAUGGAUUGUCCUUUCCCAUCACAUUACAACAUCUUUGGAAUUUAUGAACUAUUGUCUUCUUCCUUUCUCAUUUUAUUUUUGGGCAACGUCUCAUAAUAAUCUCAUCUAAAUCUCACUCUGGGAAAAAUCUAGAUUAUUGUUUAAAAUGAGUACUGGGCAAAAGAGAUAGCACUUUGUGAAUAACUUGGUCAUAUAUACAUUUUUCUAUUUGCCUUACUGGAUUUUUUAUUCCUAGCCCAUAUAUCAUGUCUCUUUUUGUGUUGUAUCAAGAGUAUCUAUCAAAAUGUUUGACAAUAGAAGAUGCUAAAUACAUGCUUUACAGCUUAAUGUAUAGAGAAGUAACUAGAUGAAUAAAUAGAAAACCAAGAAGAAUAUUAAUUGCCUAAUUUCUAGCUAGAAUAAUCAGGAAAAAUUGAUAUAAGACACAAAUUAUUAAUAUCAAUAAUAAAGGCCACCACUACAGAUCCUACAGACAUUAAAAGGCUAUUACAUGGCAUUAUAUAUGACACUAAGCUAAUAAAUUCCAUAAUUUGUUUGAAUUGUGCAAAUUCCUUGAAGGAUAGACGCUAUCUAAAGCUCACAAAAGAAGAAAUUGAUAACCCCAGUACUGUUAAAGGAAACCUUGAACACAAAUAGUUUCACUGAUUAAUUCCAUCAAACAUUUAAGGAAAGAAAUAACAUCAAGUCUUUACUAAUUCUACCAACUAACUCUAUGCCAUGAACUUUAACCUGAUACCAUAACCAGAUAAAGUUCAAGAAAACAAUUACCCAAUAUUCCUAAUGAACAUAAAUGCAAAAAUUCUUAACAAAAUUUUAAUAAGCCAAGCCCAACAGUGUACAAAAAUAGCAAUACUUUAUGACUAAGUGGAGCUUAUCUCAAUAAUGUAAGACUGGUUAAAUAUUUAAGUAUUUAAAAUUAAUCAUUUUGAAGUUCCUGUUGUGGAUCAGCAGAAACGAAUCUGACUGGCAAACAUGAGGUCUACAGGUUCAAUCCCUGGCCUUGCUCAGUGGGUUAAGGAUCCAGUGUUGCUGUGAGUUGUGGUGUAGGUUGCAGAUGUGGCUGGGAUCCCACAGCCACAGCUACAGCUACGAUUCAACUCCUAGCCUGAGAAUAAACAUAUGCUGCUGGUCUGCCCUAAAAAGAGAAAUAAUAAUAAUAAUAAUAAAAUUAAAUUAAUCAUUUUAAUUUAUCCUAUCAAAAACUGAAAUAGAAUCCAUAUAAACACCUCACAAGAUACAGAAAUAAUUUUUUGACAAAAUUCAAUAUCUAAUCCUGACAAAAACUCUUAGCAUAUUAGGAAUAGAAAUGAAUUUCCUGAAACUGAAAAAAAGUCAUCUACCAAAAUCUAUAGCUAUUACCACAAUUAAAGCUGAAAGACUGUAUACUUUCAACUUAAGAUUGGAAUUAAAGAAAAGAUGUCUUUUAUUACCACUCUUAUUCAUUGUUAUAAAUGAGAUCCUACCCAGUACAAUAUGGCAAGAAAAUAAAUAGAUAAAAAAUAAAACAAAUUGGAAAGGGAGAAAUAAGACUGUAUUUAUUUGCAGAUUACAUGAUUUGCUAAAUCUGAUAAGUAAGUUCUGCAAUGUCGUAGGAUACAAGGUUGGUAUACAAACAUUAAUUGUAUCACUACAUACUAGGAAUUAGUCAUUGAAAAAGAAUUUAUCAGAACUCUCAAUACACUAAAAUGAUGACUUUUAUCAGGGAGUUCCCCUUGUGGCUCAGUGGAAACGAAUCUGACUAGUAUCCAUAAGGAUGCAAGUUCAACCUCUGGCCUAGCUCAGUGGAUUGAGCUGUGGCGUAGGUCACAGACGCAGCUCAGAUCUCACAUUGCUGUGGCUUAAGCUAGCAGCUGUAGUUCCAAUUUGACCCCUAGCCCGGGCACUUCCAU